rnacentral:rRNA from 1 species
UCCGCCAGGGUACUACGAGCGCUAGCUUAAAACCCAAAGGACUUGACGGUGUCUCAGACCCACCUAGAGGAGCCUGUUCUAGAACCGAUAAUCCACGUUUAACCUCACCACCUCUUGUUCUCCCCGCCUAUAUACCGCCGUCGCAAGCUUACCCUGUGAAGGACUAUCAGUAAGCAAAAUGGGUACAUCCCAAAACGUCAGGUCGAGGUGUAGCUUACGGGGUGGGAAGAAAUGGGCUACAUUUUCUGUAUCAGAAUAUACGAAUGGUGUUAUGAAAUUAAUACCUGAAGGUGGAUUUAGUAGUAAAAA